rnacentral:rRNA from 1 species
AGAAUCAACGCUGGCGGCGUGCCUAACACAUGCAAGUCGAACGAGAAAGGGUAGCAAUACCUGAGUAAAGUGGCGCACGGGUGAGUAACACGUGACUAACCUACCUUUUAGUGGGGGAUAACCUAGGGAAACCUGGGCUAAUACCGCAUAAUACCUACGGGUCAAAGCAGCAAUGCGCUGAUAGAGGGGGUCGCGGCCGAUUAGCUAGUUGGCGGGGUAAUGGCCCACCAAGGCAGUGAUCGGUAUCCGGCCUGAGAGGGCGCACGGACACACUGGAACUGAAACACGGUCCAGACUCCUACGGGAGGCAGCAGUGGGGAAUUUUGCGCAAUGGGGGAAACCCUGACGCAGCAACGCCGCGUGGAGGAUGAAGUCCCUUGGGACGUAAACUCCUUUCGAUCGGGACGAUAAUGACGGUACCGGAAGAAGAAGCCCGGCUAACUUCGUGCCAGCAGCCGC